rnacentral:rRNA from 1 species
AUUGAACGCUGGCGGCAGGCCUAACACAUGCAAGUCGAGCGGAUGAAGGGAGCUUGCUCCUGGAUUCAGCGGCGGACGGGUGAGUAAUUCCUAGGAAUCUGCCUGGUAGUGGGGGCUAACGUCCGGAAACGGGCGCUAAUACCGCAUACGUCCUGAGGGAGAAAGUGGGGGAUCUUCGGACCUCACGCUAUCAGAUGAGCCUAGGUCGGAUUAGCUAGUUGGUGGGGUAAAGGCCUACCAAGGCGACGAUCCGUAACUGGUCUGAGAGGAUGAUCAGUCACACUGGAACUGAGACACGGUCCAGACUCCUACGGGAGGCAGCAGUGGGGAAUAUUGGACAAUGGGCGAAAGCCUGAUCCAGCCAUGCCGCGUGUGUGAAGAAGGUCUUCGGAUUGUAAAGCACUUUAAGUUGGGAGGAAGGGCAGUAAGUUAAUACCUUGCUGUUUUGACGUUACCAACAGAAUAAGCACCGGCUAACUUCGUG